UCACUACUUCAGAAAGGCCCCACCCCGUCAGCAGCAAGUCAGCGUUCACGCACACUGCGAGUGCAGACAUGGUUCGGGCGCUUGUAUGUGUGCUGACGGCUGCUUGGAGCCUGGGAAUCGGUGGCCAGGCGGUGCACCAGCCAGAAUGGGACGUCCACGCCGUAGAGGGUGCAGCAGUGAUGCUGGACUGCAGCUAUGACACACUGGGGUACAGUGCCAACAUCUUGUGGUACAAACCUGUAGUGAACUCAUUGCCGGACUUCAUCCUGAGCACAAAUAAGUUCGGUCAGGGCAAGAAGUGGGAAAAGUACAGUGAAAGGUUUCAGUGCAGCAUGAAUGCCUGCGCUCGGCAAGCUCCUCUGCAUAUCGAACGUGUGAAGCCCAGCGACUCAGGAGUCUUCCACUGUACCCUGACGACCACGCUGACACAUCCACUGGCGUGCCUGCACAAAAACACCUGCACCCGCCUCAUCUCAUGAGUGACAUUGGGGGCGUGGCCUCACCGGAGUCCAAGACGUCUAGCUGUGGCAGAGCUGCAACUCAGCGUGUCGUCAGACUCAUUCCGUGCUCAAAGAUGAUUUUGUUUUGUCGCGUUUUUUUAAUCUGCUAUGUAGCGGGCCUCAUACUGUGUGUGCUCUUGAAUUUAUUUCAUCUGAUACGACAUGUUGA